rnacentral:rRNA from 1 species
CACGUAGGGUGCGAGCGUUGUCCGGAAUUAUUGGGCGUAAAGAGCUCGUAGGCGGUGUGUCGCGUCGGCCGUGAAAACCUGCAGCUUAACUGUGGGCUUGCGGUCGAUACGGGCAUCACUGGAGUUCGGCAGGGGAGACUGGAAUUCCUGGUGUAGCGGUGAAAUGCGCAGAUAUCAGGAGGAACACCGGUGGCGAAGGCGGGUCUCUGGGCCGAUACUGACGCUGAGGAGCGAAAGCGUGGGGGAGCAAACAGG